rnacentral:rRNA from 1 species
AGUGAACGCUGGCGGCGUGGGUGAGACAUGCAAGUCGCACGAGCGAGAUCUGCCGAAAGGUGGAACUCGCUAGUGGCGAAAGGGAGAGUACAAAGCAGGUAACGUACCCUGGACACCGGGAUAGUCCGCCGAAAGGCGGUGUAAUACCGGGCGAUGCUCCGCGUCGUAAGGCGCGGUGUCAAAGGGCGGGGACCUUCGGGCCCGCCGGUCUGGGAGCGGCCCGCUCCGUAUCAGCUAGUUGGUGAGGUAAUGGCUCACCAAGGCGAUGACGCGUAGCCGGCCUGAGAGGGUGUUCGGCCUCACUGGGACUGAGACACUGCCCAGAGCCCUACGGGGUGCAGCAGUCUCGAAUCAUCCGCAAUGCGCGAAAGCGUGACGGUGCGACGCCGCGUGCGGGAGGAAGCCCUUCGGGGUGUAAACCGCUUUUUGGAGGUAUGAAGCGUCUCGGCGGAUAAUGCCGGCGACGUUGACGUCAACU